UCAGUAAUGAUGGGUAGGGGAGCUUCCCAUACGGGUUGAAGCAUGACCGUAAGGACAUGUGGACAGUAUGGGAGUGAGAAUGUUGGCAUGAGUAGCGAGAUGUGGGUGAGAAUCCCACAGGCCGUAAACCCAAGGUUUCUAGGGGAGGGUUCGUCCGCCCAGGCUUAGUCGGGAACUAAGCUGAGGCCGAAAGGCGUAGGGGAUGGACAACAGGUUGAUAUUCUUGUACUAACGAUAAACGUUUGAGAGAUGGGAUGACAGAGUAGGAUAAACUAAGCACACAGUUGGUUAUGUGUGCGCAAGCAUUGAGGCAGGCAAAGGAGGCAAAUACGCUGUGAUACUGCUGGGAUGUGAUGGGGAGCGAGAUUUAGUAGCGAAGUAGCUGAUUUCACACUGUCAAGAAAAGUCUCUAUCGAGGUUAAAGGUACCCGUACCGCAAACCGACACAGGUG
rnacentral:rRNA from 1 species